rnacentral:misc_RNA from 1 species
CGAUGAUACCCCAUCAUCCACCGUCGACUGAUCACUUCCAGUGUUAGCAGUGAGAAGGUGCAAUCCAGUAUUUACAUGGAGGCUUGACCUUGGAGCGGCUUCACCGUAAGAAUUCUCCUUCUUGACAGUGACACAUGUGGCUUUAGACUCAUCAUCGUCAUUUCUUUUAUCGCUAACAGCUAUAUUCUUGCUAUCAGAAAAGAAGUCGACUUCACCAACAACAACACGGUUGUCAUCGGCCGCAGACGGAGAAGCAUGGUCAUCCCGGCGGGAAACAGUAACAGGAAAGGGAAACAUCUUAACGGAGUCAGGCACGUCAGGAUUUUUUUUAAUCUUGAAGAAAGAAUCGAGUACAGGCGCAGAAGAAGGCUUGUUGAAGGAGAUAUGAGGAUCAGAAUCAAGGGCUAGACCCCAUCCUUUGUCCAUAAAUCAAGAAGGAAAGAGAUCUAUACAAAGAGAAAAUAGAGGAGAGAAGGAAAAACAGAGACCAGAAUCGCAACGCGGAAGAAAGAGAAAAGAGACGUGUUAUGCGUGAG